AUUGAACGCUGGCGGCAGGCCUAACACAUGCAAGUCGAACGGUAGCACAGAGAGCUUGCUCUCGGGUGACGAGUGGCGGACGGGUGAGUAAUGUCUGGGAAACUGCCCGAUGGAGGGGGAUAACUACUGGAAACGGUAGCUAAUACCGCAUAACGUCGCAAGACCAAAGAGGGGGACCUUCGGGCCUCUUGCCAUCGGAUGUGCCCAGAUGGGAUUAGCUUGUAGGUGAGGUAACGGCUCACCUAGGCGACGAUCCCUAGCUGGUCUGAGAGGAUGACCAGCCACACUGGAACUGAGACACGGUCCAGACUCCUACGGGAGGCAGCAGUGGGGAAUAUUGCACAAUGGGCGCAAGCCUGAUGCAGCCAUGCCGCGUGUAUGAAGAAGGCCUUCGGGUUGUAAAGUACUUUCAGCGGGGAGGAAGGGAGUGAGGUUAAUAACCUCAUUCAUUGACGUUACCCGCAGAAGAAGCACCGGCUAACUCCGUGCCAGCCGCCGCGAGUAACAC
rnacentral:rRNA from 1 species